rnacentral:rRNA from 1 species
GGUGAGUAACACGUAAGGAACCUGCCCCAAGGAUUGGGAUAACUCCGAGAAAUCGGAGCUAAUACCGAAUAGUUCUUCAGACCGCAUGGUCUGAUGAUGAAAGGCGCUUCGGCGUCACCUUGGGAUGGCCUUGCGGUGCAUUAGCUAGUUGGUGGGGUAAUGGCCCACCAAGGCGACGAUGCAUAGCCGACCUGAGAGGGUGAUCGGCCACACUGGGACUGAGACACGGCCCAGACUCCUACGGGAGGCAGCAGUAGGGAAUCUUCCACAAUGGACGAAAGUCUGAUGGAGCAACGCCGCGUGAGUGAUGAAGGUUUUCGGAUCGUAAAACUCUGUUGUAAGGGAAGAACAGGUAUGAGAGGUAAUGCUCAUGCUAUGACGGUACCUUACGAGAAAGCCACGGCUAACUACGUGCCAGCAGCCGCGGUAAUACGUAGGUGGCAAGCGUUGUCCGGAAUUAUUGGGCGUAAAGCGCGCGCAGGCGGCCUUUUAAGUCUGAUGUGAAAGCCCCCGGCUCAACCGGGGAGGGUCAUUGGAAACUGGAAGGCUUGAGUACAGAAGAGAAGAGUGGAAUUCCAUGUGUA